GACAGAGGGUGCAAACGUUGUUCGGAAUUACUGGGCGUAAAGCGUGCGCAGGCGGCCUUGCAAGUCGGGCGUGAAAUCCCACGGCUCAACCGUGGAAGUGCACUCGAAACUGCUUGGCUAGAGUCUUGGAGAGGAAGGCGGAAUGCUUGGUGUAGAGGUGAAAUUCGUAGAUAUCAAGCGGAACACCGGUGGCGAAGGCGGCCUUCUGGGACAAUGACUGACGCUAAAACACGAAAGCGUGGGGAGCAAACAGG
rnacentral:rRNA from 1 species